rnacentral:lncRNA from 1 species
AGACUGGCCAUUAGCGGGUAAUAUACUCAGAAGCGGUGGGUGGUGUGAGCGCCUCCGAAGUCUGACCAGAAGGCUGCUCUGUCUACCUCUUCUGCGGCGACAAUGUUUUGGGUCAGUCUCUGGAAUCAGUUUGAAUGCCUUGGGCGGUUCGAACAAAGGAUCCAUUUCGGGAAAGUCGGAUUCCUGGUCGUAGAGCUGAUUAUGCUGAUGCCCGACUGUAAAAACUUGGAGAUCUUCACUGGUUCUGAGGGAGGUGAUGUGGCCACAAACAGUGCCCGGGACGCAUUCCAGCGCUACCACUGUCUAGAGAACAGCCAGAGGUUGGUCAAGACAUCUGCCGCAACUUCAUCUUUCGUGUGUCAGCUCUGCUGCACCUGGGAGCUAAAGAUAGCUCUGGCUUGCUGAUAACAUCUGAUCUGAUGCGACUCCAUAUGCGAUUUGACUCCUGUAUUUCUGACUGUAUUCAAUAAAACGUCCAAUGUCAAAUAUAAAUAAUUAGGAUUUUGUACUUGAUAGACGCUAGUAGUUCCCAAUCAGACAAUUUCGAUAAAAAAAUCUGUUUUCCUCAGUGCAAUGUUUGGUGAAUGCAAGGUGUUGUUUUGUCUUCAGUCCUCUUUUGAUUUCUGUGUGUACUGAUUCAGUUCUAAAUGACCAUCAUCGAGUCCAUUCUCACCUCCUCCAUCACUGCAACGGAUUGUCCGGUCAGCUGCGAGGGUCAUUGGCCGCCACCCGCCCUCAAUCGAGGUCCUGUACGACUCCAGGGCAAGGAAGCAUGCCAGAAAGAUCAUCGACAGCCCCUUUACCCCCUCUUCCAAAGAGUCCCCUCUGGCAAACGGUUCAGGUCAAUCACAACCAAAAUCUCCCGCCACCCGAACACUUUCUUCCCCUGUGCCAUAGCCCUCACCAACUGUCCACCUGGUCCUCUUAUACAUGUACUAUGCACCCUGCACUAUUGUCCCAAAGCUGCACAUUACUCUUUGCACAUCUCUUAUAUGCAUAAUUUAGCUUAUUUGUUUACAUUUUAGUAAUUUAGCAGACACUCUUAUCCAGAGUGACUUACAGGGGCAAUUAGGGUAAAGUGCCUUGCUCAAGGGCUUGACACUUUCGGUUACUUAACCAAUGGUCUUAACCACCAGGCUACCUGUCGUUCAUAGUGUAUACACAUACUAUAUGUGGUUCUGUGGAAAUUCUGCAUCUAUAUAUAUUUUUUGUCUAUAUAUUGUGUUUAUGGUCUGUAUAUUCUGUUUAUUGUGGCAGCACCAUUUCACAGUGAAAUUCCUGUACAUGCAAAUGUAUUUGGUGAAUGAAG